rnacentral:tRNA from 1 species
GGAAGGUUGUCCGAGCUGGCCGAAGGAGCACGCCUGGAAAGUGUGUAGGCGUCACAAGCGUCUCAAGGGUUCGAAUCCCUUGCCUUCCG